rnacentral:rRNA from 1 species
AUUGAACGCUGGCGGAAUGCUUUACACAUGCAAGUCGAACGGCAGCACGGGGCAACCUGGUGGCGAGUGGCGAACGGGUGAGUAAUACAUCGGAACGUGCCCAAUCGUGGGGGAUAACGUAGCGAAAGUUACGCUAAUACCGCAUACGAUCUACGGAUGAAAGCGGGGGAUCGCAAGACCUCGCGCGAAUGGAGCGGCCGAUGUCAGAUUAGGUAGUUGGUGGGGUAAAGGCUCACCAAGCCGACGAUCUGUAGCUGGUCUGAGAGGACGACCAGCCACACUGGGACUGAGACACGGCCCAGACUCCUACGGGAGGCAGCAGUGGGGAAUUUUGGACAAUGGGCGCAAGCCUGAUCCAGCCAUGCCGCGUGAGUGAAGAAGGCCU